UAGCUCAGUUGGUAAAGAACCUGCCUGCAAUGCAGGAGACCCUGGUUUGAUUCCUGG
rnacentral:tRNA from 1 species